GCAGUUUUGGUGUAUAGAACAUUCAUAUAAUCCUCUGCCAUUUAGGAGUUAAAUCCCUUUGUUUAUGAACCCUAGUCACACCUCCCUGCAUGUGACUUGCACAGCCUUCCUAAACACUUCCUGUAAAGAGAGCCCUAUUUAGGCUUUCUUUAUUGCAAGUUCUGUUUAAUUAAGAUUUUCUUAUCCCCUGCUAUGUUAAUAGCUUGCUAGACCCUGCAAGAGCCUCCUGUAUGUGAUUAAAGUUCAAUUUAGAGAUUGAGAUACAAUUAUUUAAGGUAAAUUACAUCUGUUUGAAAGUGAAACCAGUUUUUUUUCAUGCAGGCUCUGUCAAUCAUAGCCAGGGGAGGUGUGGCUAGGGCUGCACAAACAGAAACAAAGUGAUUUAAAGCCUAAAUGACAGUGAAUUGAGCAGCGAAAUUGCAGGGGAAUGAUCUAUACACUAAAACUGCUUUAUUUAGCUAAAG